GGUGAACGCUGGCGGCGUGCUUAAGACAUGCAAGUCGAACGCAGUCUUCGGACUGAGAGGCGCACGGGUGAGUAACACGUAACUGACCUACCCCCAAGUCGCGGAUAACUGGCCGAAAGGUCAGCUAAUACGUGAUGUGAUGUCCCCUUUCUGGGGGGCCAUUAAAGGUUUACUGCUUGGGGAUGGGGUUGCGUUCCAUCAGCUAGUUGGCGGGGUAAAGGCCCACCAAGGCAACGACGGAUAGCCGGCCUGAGAGGGUGGCCGGCCACAGGGGCACUGAGACACGGGUCCCACUCCUACGGGAGGCAGCAGUUAGGAAUCUUCCACAAUGGGCGAAAGCCUGAUGGAGCGAUGCCGCGUGAGGGAUGAAGGUUCUCGGAUCGUAAACCUCUGAAGCAGGGACGAAAGACGCGUAAGCGGGAUGACGGUACCUGAGUAAUAGCACCGGCUAACUCCGUGCCAGCAGCCGCCGUAA
rnacentral:rRNA from 1 species